CCUACGGGCGGCAGCAGUGGGGAAUAUUGGACAAUGGGCGAAAGCCUGAUCCAGCCAUGCCGCGUGUGUGAAGAAGGCCUUCGGGUUGUAAAGCACUUUCAGUGGGGAAGAAAGCCUUGGGGCUAAUACCCUCGAGGAAGGACAUCACCCACAGAAGAAGCACCGGCUAACUCCGUGCCAGCAGCCGCGGUAAUACGGAGGGUGCGAGCGUUAAUCGGAAUUACUGGGCGUAAAGCGCGCGUAGGCGGUCUGAUAAGCCGGUUGUGAAAGCCCCGGGCUCAACCUGGGAACGGCAUCCGGAACUGUCAGGCUAGAGUGCAGGAGAGGAAGGUAGAAUUCCCGGUGUAGCGGUGAAAUGCGUAUAGAUCGGGAGGAAUACCAGUGGCGAAGGCGGCCUUCUGGACUGACACUGACGCUGAGGUGCGAAAGCGUGGGUAGCAAACAGGAUUAGAUACCCUAGUAGUC
rnacentral:rRNA from 1 species